rnacentral:rRNA from 1 species
AGUCGAGGGGUAUACUUCUUCGGAAUUAGAGACCGGCGCACGGGUGCGUAACGCGUAUGCAAUCUACCUUUCACAGAGGGAUAGCCCAGAGAAAUUUGGAUUAAUACCUCAUAGUAUAGCAGUUUCGCAUGAAACCACUAUUAAAGUCACAACGGUGAAAGAUGAGCAUGCGUCCCAUUAGCUAGUUGGUAAGGUAACGGCUUACCAAGGCAACGAUGGGUAGGGGUCCUGAGAGGGAGAUCCCCCACACUGGUACUGAGACACGGACCAGACUCCUACGGGAGGCAGCAGUGAGGAAUAUUGGACAAUGGGCGCAAGCCUGAUCCAGCCAUGCCGCGUGCAGGAUGACGGUCCUAUGGAUUGUAAACUGCUUUUAUACGAGAAGAAACACUCCGACGUGUCGGAGCUUGACGGUAUCGUAAGAAUAAGGAUCGGCUAACUCCGUGCCAGCAGCCGCGGUAAUACGGAGGAUCCAAGCGUUAUCCGGAAUCAUUGGGUUUAAAGGGUCCGUAGGCGGUCAGGUAAGUCAGUGGUGAAAGCCCAUCGCUCAACGGUGGAACGGCCAUUGAUACUGUCUGACUUGAAUUAUUAGGAAGUAACUAGAAUAUGUAGUGUAGCGGUGAAAUGCUUAGAGAUUACAUGGAAUACCAAUUGCGAAGGCAGGUUACUACUAAUGGAUUGACGCUGAUGGACGAAAGCGUGGGUAGCGAACAGGAU